rnacentral:lncRNA from 10 species
GGUGGGAACAGCGCAGGGGCAGGGGACAGUGGCCCCAGGGUCCCAGCCUGCAGAGGCCGAAUUCACCCAGAGCCGCCCAAGCACCCCCAUCCCCUGCCCGCGUCGGCUCUUUUGCCUGCUUUCUUGUUGGGGGAGUCUCCUGUCUUUCACCCAUCCCCCUGCCUUGGCUGGAGGCUUUGCAAGUCUGCUCACUGUGGACUUGCCUGCAGUGUCCUGUGCUGAACAGAAACCUUCAUUUUAAUCGACCUAAUGCAAAACGCCUUACCUUAGAACUGUGUUUUUUCUGUUUCGUUUGAGAAUCGCGUCUGCUCCUCAGUCACAAUGGUAAUGGACUGUGUACCUAUGGGGCACGUGCACCAGCGAGGGCUCCUGCUGUGUUUCUCUCCUUAGAGUGAACCCAGCUUCCAGCAUCCUCCGCCUUGCCCUUUUGUUCUAGCACUGCUGGAAUCCGUCGUGUGCCUGGGUGUUGUGGGUCUCUCUGAGCCUUGUCUUCAAGUCCACAGGCCGCUUUGCCGACCCUACACUAUCCACACAGUGGCUCUGCAGGAUGGCUUAAUAUCCAUCCCCUUCACUCCUGCUCCAAGGUUCUUUGUGGAUCUCAUUGUUGCAGAUAAAUUGUAGAAUAGGUUUGCCAGGUAACAACUACCACCACCACCACCAAAAAAACCCUGGAUUUUUUUUUUUUUUUUUUUUGAGAUGGAGUCUUGCUCUGCCACCCAGGCUGGAGUGCAGUGGUGUGAUCUCGGCUCAGUGCAACCUCUGCCUCCCGGGCUCAAGCGAUUCUCCUGCCUGAGCCUCCCAAGUAGCUGAGACUACAGGAAUUUUGAUUGGGAUAAAUAACAGCCUUAUGCUGUCAAGCCAUCCAUUCAAGAGCAUGGACGGACUCUCUCUAAAUAUUUCAGGUCAUCCAUGGCCUCUUUAGCAUCUUAAAGUUUUCCCUGUAGAGGUCUUAUAUUGUAUUGGUUAAUUCAUCAAUACUUUGUUAAGUUUGUUUUUUUGAGACAGGGUCUCACUCUGUUGCCCAGGCUGGAGUGCAAUGGCGUGAUCACGGCUCACUGCAGCCUUGACCUCCCUGGGCGCAAACAAUCCUCCCACCUCAGCCUCCCGAGUAGCUGGGACUACAGGCUUGUGCCACCACGCCCGGCUAAUUUUUGUAGUUUUUGUAGAGAUGGGGGUCUCACUAUGUUGGCCAGGCUGGUCUUGAACUCCUGGGCUCGAGUGAUAUGCCCGCUUCGGCCUUCCAAAGUGUUGGGAUUACAGGCAUGAGCCACCGCUCCUGGCCUUAAGUUUGGUUUCUAUUAUAAAUGUUGCCCUAUAUUUAAAAAUUAUAUCCUCUUUUUAUUUUUAAAUUUUUUGUAGAGAUGGAGUCUCACUAUGUUUCUCACCAGGCUGAUCUCAAACUCCUGGCCUUACCUACUGUGCUCGUCUGUUCAACUAUUAUGUUACGUUUCUAUUUUUCCCCUUCGUUCUUUAAAAAACGGUGUUCUUGGUAUGCUUCCUCCUGGGAACCCCUCCCUGUUCCUGAGGCGCUUUGAGCUAUGACACAUUCCGUCCCCACGGCUCCACCUCUGCACCUGUGGGGGGACUUGCCCUGCUGGCAGUGCCACACCCUCAGGUGUGCACGGAACUGAAGUGUGACCUCACGUCGCUGGGGGUGUUGGCCUCUUGCUCAGGUGCAGUGCUCCUGGAAGGGCCGAAGAGUGGGUCCUGCCUCGGGUGGGCGCGCCCUGCUGUGCUGAGCCCCUCACAACCUGGCAGCAAGGGUUGCCCUGGCCCAGCGCUCACCCUCAGCCC